GACGAACGCUGGCGGCGUGCUUAACACAUGCAAGUCGAACGGAAAGGCCCUGCUUUUGUGGGGUGCUCGAGUGGCGAACGGGUGAGUAACACGUGAGUAACCUGCCCUUGACUGUGGGAUAACUUCAGGAAACUGGGGCUAAUACCGGAUAGGAGCUCCUGCUGCAUGGUGGUGGUUGGAAAGUUUCGGCGGUUGGGGAUGGACUCGCGGCUUAUCAGCUUGUUGGUGGGGUAGUGGCUUACCAAGGCUUUGACGGGUAGCCGGCCUGAGAGGGUGACCGGCCACAUUGGGCCUGGGGGACGGCCCAGACUCCUACGGGAGGCAGAAGGGGGGAAUAUUGCACAAUGGGCGGAAGCCUGAUGCAGCAACGCCGCGUGCGGGAUGACGGCCUUCGGGUUGUAAACCGCUUUCGCCUGUGCCGAAGCGUGAGUGACGGUAAUGGGUAAAGAAGCACCGGCUAACUACGUG
rnacentral:rRNA from 1 species